UACGUAGGGUACAAGCGUUGUCCGGAAUUAUUGGGCGUAAAGAGCUACGUAGGUGGUCUGUUCACGUCUGCUGUGGAAACGCAAGGCUCAACCUUGCGCGUGCAGUGGGUACGGGCGGACUAGAGUGCAGUAGGGGAGUCGUGGAAUUCCUGGUGUAAGCGGUGAAAUGCGCAGAUAUCAGGAGGAACACCGGUGGCGAAGGCGGGACGUCUGGGCUGUAACUGACGCUGAGGAGCGAAAGC
rnacentral:rRNA from 1 species